CAAUAGCGUAUAUUUAAGUUGCUGCAGUUAAAAAGCUCGUAGUUGGAUUUCGGGUGGGAAUGGCCGGUCCGCCGUUUCGGUGUGCACUUGCUACGCCCACCUUGCUGCUGGGGACGUGCUCUUGAGUUCACGCUCGGGACACGGAGUCGGCGAGGUUACUUUGAGUAAAUUAGAGUGUUCAAAGCAGGCCUACGCUCUGAAUACAUUAGCAUGGAAUAACACGAUAGGACUCUGGCCUAUCUUGUUGGUCUGUAGGACCGGAGUAAUGAUUAAGAGGGACAGUCGGGGGCAUUCGUAUUUCAUUGUCAGAGGUGAAAUUCUUGGAUUUAUGAAAGACGAACUACUGCGAAAGCAUUUGCCAAGGAUGUUUUCAUUAA
rnacentral:rRNA from 1 species